UUAAGCUAAAGAGGGUCAUUGACGAAUGCCUAGGGACAAGUUGCCGAAGAAGGACGCGUAAGCGGCGAUACGCCCAGGGGAGCUGCACAAGAGCUUUGAUCCUGGGAUUUCCGAAUGGGGGAACCCGGCGAGGCAAUACCUCGUCACCCAUGGAUGAAUACAUAGUCCAUGAGGAGGGCACCGGCUGAACUGAAACAUCUAAGUAAGCCGAGGAAAAGAAAUCGAAGAGAUUCCGCAAGUAGCGGCGAGCGAACGCGGAAGAGCCCAAACCUGUUGAUUCGUCAGCAGGGGUUGUAGGACCUCCACCACUCUCCCCCUCGAACCGAGCGGCCGUCGCAAGACGGACGUUGGAUUCGAGGUGAGUGGCUAAAAACGAAUCGAGAAGAGUUAUGAGAACCAUCUGGAAAGGUGGGCCGGAGUGGGUGACAGCCCCGUAUCUUAAAACACACUCGAAUUGAAGGAGGCACCUGAGUAGCACGGAGCACGUGGAACCCCGUGUGAAUCUGCCGAGACCACUCGGUAAGGCUAAAUACGACUUGUCACCGAUAGUGCAUCCAGUACCGUGAGGGAAAGGUGA
rnacentral:rRNA from 1 species